GAGUGUAGGUCUAUGAAAGGCCCCAGGCAGGUUACAACAGUGAAGGCGUAACUCAGCUCUAGAAAAGGAGCUGGUCCGUAUGUCUGAGUCUGGGGUAGAGUUAUAUUUGGGUCAGAUAGAUAGUUCCCUCAGGUCAGGUUUGACAGGUAUAGGAUAGAUAGUCAGGUAUAUGAUAGAUAGUCAGGUAUAGGAUAGAUAGUCAGGUAUAGGAUAGAUAGUCAGGUAUAGGAUAGAUAGUCAGGUAUAGGAUAGAUAGUCAGGUAUAGGAUAGAUAGUCAGGUAUAGGAUAGAUAGUCAGGUAUAUGAUAGAUAGUCAGGUAUAGGAUAGAUAGUCAGGUAUAGGAUAGAUAGUCAGGUAUAGGA